rnacentral:rRNA from 1 species
GUCUAUGGCCACGCUACCCUGAACAUGCUACCCCAAUCCUGUCUGAUCUCGGAAGCUAAGCAGGGUCAGGCCUGGUUAGUACUUGGAUGGGAGACCACCUAGGAAGACCAGGUGCUGUAGGCA